rnacentral:hammerhead_ribozyme from 1 species
AUCCAGCUGACGAGUCCCAAAUAGGACGAAACGUGCGUCAUCCAU